UACGUAGGGGGCAAGCGUUGUCCGGAAUCAUUGGGCGUAAAGCGCGUGUAGGCGGCCCGAUAAGUCCGCUGUGAAAGUCCAGGGCUCAACCCUGGGAUGCCGGUGGAUACUGUCGGGCUCGAGUCCGGAAGAGGCGAGUGGAAUUCCUGGUGUAGCGGUGAAAUGCGCAGAUAUCAGGAAGAACACCUAUGGCGAAGGCAGCACUCUGGGACGGUACUGACGCUGAGACGCGAAAGCGUGGGGAGCAAACGGG
rnacentral:rRNA from 1 species